UUUUGGAAUAAAUGCAGAAAUGUGAUCGAUUGGUCUUUGAUCUAAGAAGGCUAUAACCAAAAUCUAAUGACAUACAUUUGUUCCAGAGACUAAUAUUACUAUAUUGUCUUAACAUAGUGAGUGAAAAUAUGAUUAGCUGUAAUGUAAAAAUCUAAUUUCCCUAAAAGAAGGCAUAACAAUGUAGAAAAUCUAGUUAAGCUAACAAGAAGAUAUAAUAUAGAAAAUUGUUGUUGCUUGGAGUACCAUUCUGAAGUCAUGAGAAAUUGGAUCAUUUUUAAGCAUUUUGAUUUCUGUAGUAGAAAGACAUGUUAGUUUUAUGUGUGCUUGUGAUAUUCAUCAUCUUCUUUUAAUUUUAUAUAUUGAGUUUGUAUGCUCUUCUUUAAGUGGAUGAUUUGAGUCCAACUGGAUUUAUACUUAGUUGUGGUUUCCUUCAGGCUCUUUGUGAGGAGUUAUCG
rnacentral:misc_RNA from 1 species